rnacentral:rRNA from 1 species
GUGCCAGCAGCCGCGGUAAUACCGGCAGCCCGAGUGAUGGCCGAUAUUAUUGGGCCUAAAGCGUCCGUAGCUGGCCGCGCAAGUCCAUCGGAAAAUCCACCCGCCCAACGGGUGGGCGUCCGGUAGAAACUGCGUGGCUUGGGACCGGAAGGCGCGACGGGUACGUCCGGGGUAGGAGUGAAAUCCCGUAAUCCUGGACGGACCACCGGUGGCGAAAGCGCGUCGCGAGAACGGAUCCGACAGUGAGGGACGAAAGCCAGGGUCUCGAACCGGAUUAGAAACCCCGGUAGUCC